CAAAUUGAUUCGGUUAAGAUCUGUAACUCAAGAUGAAUCAACAUUGCUUGGCUUUAAUCCAAAAUUGAAUUGUUGCUCCUUUUGCAUGAUUUUGUUUCUUCUGAUUCCAGUUAUUGUUGUAAAUGUAAACUGUUUCAAAUUACCGUAAUAAGCUUUGCCAACAGACCUCACAGUCUUUUCAUUUCUUUUAUCACCUUCUUACAGUUGUAAUUAAUGUUCAAUCCUGAAUCUGAGUUUAUUCAUUCAUAAGCUGAAUCGUACUUGAAAUACAUGAAAUGUAUUUAUAAUCUUGUUAGACUGACUUAAUUCAUUGGGCUCAAGUCACAUUUGAUCAAGAUCUUACAAUAUUUUGACAAACUGUCUAGAUUGGAAUCAAGUUUAUUUGAGUGUUGAUUGAUUCAAUUAGCUUAUUAUUGGUAAAUGGUUAGCAGUUAAAAUUCACAUUCUGGUGUAAAAUGGCUUCUAAUUGAUUUGGUGACAAAUGUCUAGCAAAGUUUACGCUAAUUUGUUUACUCCAGUGUUGUCUUGGACAAUUAACAGUCUCAUCUCCAAGGAUAAUUAACAAUCAACUCUAAUAAUCAACUGGACGUAAAUUGAAAGCCAACCAAACAUAACAACAAUUUUCAAACAAUUGCAAACAUAACAAUGCUAAUGGAGGUGAUGAUGUUUAUUGAAACCAGAUUCAACCCAAAUACAAAAUGGUUAACAUACUGAGCCCCUUGUGAGAUAAAAUACAAUCAAGUUAACAUUUACAUUUAAGGUAAACUGGCAAACCUUCACCAACAUAAAACUGCUUUGAACGUUUAGUGGCCAUAUUUUUACAUCGUUUAACUGUCAUCUUAAUAUUGUGUUGGUUAAAAUUUUAACCUAAUUGUUUGAUAUUGGUCAAGUUCAUUCAGUGUUGAAUGAUGCUCAAUCGACUUUCGAUCCUUUUUGAUUGCUCCAAAUGGAGGGAAACAGAACAAUGUUUAAAGGAAAAGUUAAUUGUUCUGGCGGCCAUCAACUUACUUCUACAAGUAAUCAGCUUUCUUGUUUUAAUAUGGCCCUUUGCUGCUUAUCGGUACCUUUGGUACUCAAUUGGUCAUCUUAUUAUUUUACCGUUGUUCUUGGUCUCUCUGUAUCGUGAAUGGGCUGAGGUUCUUCGUUAUAUCCGUAUGUUGCUCAUCAUUGGCCAAGUGAUUAUCGGUUUGAGUUUAAUUUAUUUCAUCUUUGUCAUCGGUACGGAUCCUGAUGGGAAAGAACAAUAUCGAGGCGCUAAUCUUUACUCGUUUUUUGCUUUCAUCAUAAAUCUUCCACUUCAAGUUGCAUCCAUUUUCUUCCUUGAACUUCUUCUCGAGCAAAUGCCAAUUGACGAAGAGUAACCUGUAAUCCAAAUUUAAAACAAUCAAAUUAUAGAGAUUCAUCUUGUUCUUUUAUAAGUGCAUGGAGAUUUUUACUCAGAUUAGGUUUGUAUACAAUUAUAUCAAAUUAUUUAGUUGAACUAUUCUUGAAAAUGGCUUAUACUAAAAGAACAUGAAAUAAACGUAAAUUUCUAAGAAUUAA